AGAGUUUGAUCCUGGCUCAGAUUGAACGCUGGCGGCAGGCUUAACACAUGCAAGUCGAGCGGUAACAGGUCCAUCUUGCUGGAUGCUGACGAGCGGCGGACGGGUGAGUAAUGCAUAGGAAUCUGCCCGGUAGUGGGGGAUAACCUGGGGAAACCCAGGCUAAUACCGCAUACGCCCUACGGGGGAAAGCAGGGGCUCUUCGGACCUUGCGCUAUCGGAUGAGCCUAUGUCGGAUUAGCUAGUUGGUAGGGUAAAGGCCUACCAAGGCGACGAUCCGUAACUGGUCUGAGAGGAUGAUCAGCCACAUCGGGACUGAGACACGGCCCGAACUCCUACGGGAGGCAGCAGUGGGGAAUAUUGGACAAUGGGGGUAACCCUGAUCCAGCCAUGCCGCGUGUGUGAAGAAGGCCUUCGGGUUGUAAAGCACUUUCAGCGAGGAAGAAGGCCUGGUGGCCAAUACCCACCAGGAAGGACAUCACUCGCAGAAGAAGCACCGGCUAACUCCGUGCCAGCAGCCGCGGUAAUACGGAGGGUGCGAGCGUUAAUCGGAAUUACUGGGCGUAAAGCGCGCGUAGGUGGCUUGAUAAGCCGGUGUGAAAGCCCUGGGCUCAACCUGGGAACGGCAUCCGGAACUGUCAAGCUAGAGUGCAGGAGAGGAAGGUAGAAUUCCCGGUGUAGCGGUGAAAUGCGUAGAGA
rnacentral:rRNA from 1 species